rnacentral:rRNA from 1 species
GGAGGGUGCAAGCGUUAUCCGGAUUCACUGGGUUUAAAGGGUGCGUAGGUGGGUUGGUAAGUCAGUGGUGAAAUCCCCGAGCUUAACUUGGGAACUGCCAUUGAUACUAUCAGUCUUGAAUAUUGUGGAGGUCAGCGGAAUAUGUCAUGUAGCGGUGAAAUGCUUAGAGAUGACAUAGAACACCAAUUGCGAAGGCAGCUGGCUACGCAUAUAUUGACACUGAGGCACGAAAGCGUGGGGAUCAAACAGGAUUAGAUACCCUGGUAGUCCACGCCCUAAACUAUGGAUACUCGACAUACGCGAUACACUGUGUGUGUCUGAGCGAAAGCAUUAAGUAUCCCACCUGGGAAGUACGACCGCAAGGUUGAA